rnacentral:lncRNA from 1 species
CCUCAUGUAUUUCAUCUUCCUCAUGGACCUAAGUAGUUAGCCCUAGGAGACAAAAUCUACAGCACCCAUUUCAGCGUAUUCAGCUCCUCCUCUCACCAUAAACAGGGAACUAGCCGGAAAACGCACAGGCAAAACCUGCCUCGCACUAGCUCGUCGCUACCACACCCGACCAGCGGCAACUCCAAAACCAUCACCCCAUAACCGUUACCUUUCUCACCAGACCCGUCUCCAACCAAAGCUCGCCGAGAAAAUGAACUCCAGCAGAAAACCAGCAAACUCAGAGUCACCGUAGAUCGCCACCAAAACUUGUUGGAAUCCAGCAGUAACCUUCGAACAAUAUCCCAAGAAAUCGGCCAGAUCUCCACCUGAACUCAAAAGCCGGCCGUCACCCUUACAAAAGAGAAUGAGCAGAUUCCAUCCAACAAAGUAGCUCUUCAGUCGUUUCUAUUUUUAGAUCUCCAGAGUUUUCAGUUUUCGUUUAAAUUGAAGAAAAUUCCAAACCAUACAAACAUUAAAGAAAUUUGCUGAUUCUUCAUUUUAAUUCUUGGAUUCUGGUGCUAAAUCAUGGGUGUUCGUUUGAAUUUGGAGUCGUCUUGCGUUCGGAUUGCCCGUGCCAUUUCUGGGGGUGUACAUAAAAAGGAGGUGUGACAGCUCUGUCGACUCUGCUAGGGACCAGAACCCAGAUCUUCUGGUUCAUAGUUUAGAAUUCGAGCUUAAAGUAAUUGUUAUAUAUACCUUUAUUGAUUGUUUGAUUUUAUUUACAUGUUUGGGCCUAUUGUACUAAAUAUUGUUUUUUACCUCUUUGAUAUUACCUGAACUGUAUAUAAACUACUACGAAACCCUUCUCUUCCCAUCUUUGGGGAUGUGCUCGCUGGUCGAGACUCCUUAUUCUGUUAGUGUCAUACCUUGAAAUAAGAAAGAGGUUCAGACAAGUUACUAAGUCAGAUGGCGUUUUGGUUACACUGUCUAGAACACAUACCCAGGUUUUGAGUCUAGAAUAACUCAGCCUCAUGCCAGAUCCCUAGUAGAUACGUUUGUUUGCAUCAUAUGCAUUUGAUUUAGGGGAUUCAAUACAAGGGUUGGGUCCGUCUAGGACAGGUAUACCCCAAAAAAUAAAAGACCAUCCUGAUGCAUCUUAUGUGCUACAUGUUACAUUUAUUCAAGGGUAAAAGGAUCAUUUGACAGACCAGUGAUAGCUGAGGAUAAAAAAAGUAAAAAAUAAUGAGAAAAAGAAAUAAGAAAGAAAAAAAGAAAAGAAAAGAGAUGGUGAAGAUAAAGCGAGUGGGGUCCAAUUACGUUUUCCAUCAUAUUUUUGUGAAGAAAAACAAAAAGAGCUUGAAAAAUUCAAAAAGAUUCUGCCUUUUUUUAUAUCAUUUUUCAAAAAGCAAAAAUAAAAAAAGAAAAAUAAAUCCAAAAAGAGUUCACAUGUUUCAUCAUUUUUCAAAAAAAAAGAAAAGACAAAAGAAAAAAUGUUUUCUCUAAAAUUAGUUAUUUUUUAAAUUCUUACCGGUAUCCAAUUUGCCCUGAACUACGCAUACCUGAUUCUCGUCUUUUGGGGCGUGAUACGCCACAUAGGGUUCGGUCUACCUAGUAAAUAUUAGGUUUUUUAGCCACCUUUUGGCUAAAUAAGUCAUUUCCCAAAAAUAAGCGCAAUUAUGUCUUGAAUUUGUCUAAUAGGGAAUGUUAUUGUCUCACAUAGUGUUGAUUUAAGUUUUCUGUACAGGUGUGGAUUUACCUACUG